rnacentral:rRNA from 1 species
CCUACGGGCGGCAGCAGUCGAGAAUCAUUCACAAUGGGGGAAACCCUGAUGGUGCGACGCCGCGUGGGGGAAUGAAGGUCUUCGGAUUGUAAACCCCUGUCAUGUGGGAGCAAAUUAAAAAGAUAGUACCCCAAGAGGAAGAGACGGCUAACUCUGUACCAGCAGCCGCGGUAAUACAGAGGUCUCAAGCGUUGUUCGGAAUCACUGGUCGUAAAGCGUGCGUAGGCUGUUUCGUAAGUCGUGUGUGAAAGGCGCGGGCUCAACCCGCGGACGGCACAUGAUACUGCGAGACUAGAGUAAUGGAGGGGGAACCGGAAUUCUCGGUGUAGCAGGGAAAUGCGUAGAGAUCGAGAGGAACACUCGUGGCGAAGGCGGGUUCCUGGACAUUAACUGACGCUGAGGCACGAAGGCCAGGGGAGCGAAAGGGAUUAGAUACCCUUGUAGUC